CAGCCGCCGCGGGAAUACGUAGGGUGCAAGCGUUAAUCGGAAUUACUGGGCGUAAAGCGUGCGCAGGCGGUUUCGUAAGACAGAUGUGAAAUCCCCGGGCUUAACCUGGGAACUGCAUUUGUGACUGCGAGGCUAGAGUGUGUCAGAGGGGGGUGGAAUUCCACGUGUAGCAGUGAAAUGCGUAGAUAUGUGGAGGAACACCGAUGGCGAAGGCAGCCCCCUGGGAUAACACUGACGCUCAUGCACGAAAGCGUGGGGAGCAAACAGGAUUAGAUACCCCUGUAGUCCCUGUCUCUUAUAA
rnacentral:rRNA from 1 species